rnacentral:rRNA from 1 species
GUAGUCCCAGCUGUAAACGAUGCAGACUCGGUGAUGCAUUGGCUUGUGGCCAAUGCAGUGCCGCAGGGAAGCCGUUAANNNNNCCGCCUGGGAAGUACGUACGCAAGUAUGAAACUUAAAGGAAUUGGCGGGGGAGCACCACAAGGGGUGAAGCCUGCGGUUCAAUUGGAGUCAACGCCAGAAAUCUUACCUGGGGAGACAGCAGAAUGAAGGUCAAGCUGAAGACUUUACCAGACACGCUGAGAGGUGGUGCAUGGCCGUCGCCAGCUCGUGCCGUGAGAUGUCCUGUUAAGUCAGGUAACGAGCGAGACCCCUGCGUCUAGUUGCUACCAUUACUCUCUGGAGCAGUGGAGCGAAUUAGACGGACCGCCACAGUUAAUGUGGAGGAAGGAAGGGGCCACGGCAGGUCAGUAUGCCCCGAAACCCUAGGGCUACACGCGGGCUGCAAUGGUAUUGACAAUGUGUUCCGAAUCCGAAAGGAGGAGGCAAUCAUCAAACAAUAUCUCAGUUAUGACUGAGGGCUGUAACUCGCCCUCACGAAUAUGGAAUCCCUAGUAACCGCGCGUCACUACCG